GAACUCGUGGCUCAAUGGUAGAGCGUUCGACUCAAAAACAAAAUGUGGCGGGUUCG
rfam:Schistocephalus solidus strain NST_G2 genome assembly, scaffold: SSLN_scaffold0013151